rnacentral:snRNA from 1 species
AUCGCUUCUCGGCCUUUUGGCUAAGAUCAAGCGUA